UACGUAGGGUGCGAGCGUUAAUCGGAAUUACUGGGCGUAAAGCGUGCGCAGGCGGUUUUGUAAGCCAGAUGUGAAAUCCCCGGGCUUAACCUGGGAAUGGCAUUUGGGACUGCAAGGCUUGAGUGCGGCAGGAGGAGACUGGAAUUCCUGGUGUAGCAGUGAAAUGCGUAGAUAUCAGGAGGAACACCGAUGGCGAAGGCAGGUCUCUGGGCUGACACUGACGCUCAUGCACGAAAGCGUGGGGAGCAAACAGG
rnacentral:rRNA from 1 species